rnacentral:rRNA from 1 species
GGGGAAUUUUGGACAAUGGGGGCAACCCUGAUCCAGCCAUCCCGCGUGUGCGAUGAAGGCCUUCGGGUUGUAAAGCACUUUUGGCAGGGAAGAAACAGCCUGGCUAAUAUCCCGGGCGACUGACGGUACCUGCAGAAUAAGCACCGGCUAACUACGUGCCAGCAGCCGCGGUAAUACGUAGGGUGCAAGCGUUAAUCGGAAUUACUGGGCGUAAAGCGGGCGCAGGCGGUUCGGAAAGAAAGGUGUGAAAUCCCAGGGCUUAACCUUGGAACGGCACUUUAAACUACCGGGCUAGAGUACGUCAGAGGGGGGUAGAAUUCCCCGUGUAGCAGUGAAAUGCGUAGAGAUGUGGAGGAAUACCGAUGGCGAAGGCAGCCCCCUGGGAUGAUACUGACGCUCAUGCACGAAAGCGUGGGGAGCAAACA